UUGAGGAAGGAGAAAUACCCAAGUACAUCCAAUGAGCCUAUCUUUAGGAAGUGAAGAUAUUUUUCGCUUCUCAGUUGCUCUCCCUUUUACGCAGAUUACCGAACUGAAAUUGUAAAAUGUAUGUGCACGACAAUGCGAAAUGGUCUUCUUGUGCGUUUAAUUCCUUUCAUACUCGUAUAACUUGUAAUCUAUGCUACAUUUUCAUAAAAUGUGCCAAGAUAUUCGAACAUUUUCAUGAAAUGUUUGAAUAUUUCGUUUGGCUGCACCGAAAAAAUAUCAUUAGUUACCAAAAGGGAUUUUUUGUU